rnacentral:rRNA from 1 species
GACGAACGCUGGCGGUGUGCUUAACACAUGCAAGUCGAACGGAAAGGCCCUGCUUUUGUGGGGUGCUCGAGUGGCGAACGGGUGAGUAACACGUGAGUAACCUGCCCUUGACUUUGGGAUAACUUCAGGAAACUGGGGCUAAUACCGGAUAGGAGCUCCUGCUGCAUGGUGGGGGUUGGAAAGUUUCGGCGGUUGGGGAUGGACUCGCGGCUUAUCAGCUUGUUGGUGGGGUAGUGGCUUACCAAGGCUUUGACGGGUAGCCGGCCUGAGAGGGUGACCGGCCACAUUGGGACUGAGAUACGGCCCAGACUCCUACGGGAGGCAGCAGUGGGGAAUAUUGCACAAUGGGCGGAAGCCUGAUGCAGCAGCGCCGCGUGCGGGAUGACGGCCUUCGGGUUGUAAACCGCUUUCGCCUGUGACGAAGCGUGAGUGACGGUAAUGGGUAAAGAAGCACCGGCUAACUACGUG